UGGUCCUGACCUGACCUGUAUGUACCUGGUCCUGACCUGUAUGUACCUGGUCCUGACCUGUACGUACCUGGUCCUGACCUGUUUGUACCUGGUCCUGACCUGUAUGUACCUGGUCCUAACCUGACCUGUAUGUACCUGGUCCUAACCUGUAUGUACCUGGUCCUGACCUGUAUGUACCUGGUCCUGACCUGUAUGUACCUGGUCCUGACCUGUUUGUACCUGGUCCUGACCUGUAUGUACCUGGUCCUGACCUGUUUGUACCUGGUCCUGACCUGUUUGUACCUGGUCCUGACCUGUAUGUACCUGGUCCUGACCUGUAUGUACCUGGUCCUAACCUGACCUGUAUGUACCUGGUACUGACCUGUAUGUACCUGGUCCUGACCUGUAUGUACCUGGUCCUGACCUGUUUGUACCUGGUCCUGACCUGUAUGUACCUGGUCCUGACCUGUAUGUACCUGGUCCUGACCUGACCUGUAUGUACCUGGUCCUGACCUGUUUGUACCUGGUCCUGACCUGACCUGUUUGUACCUGGUCCUGACCUGUUUGUACCUGGUCCUGACCUGUAUGUACCUGGUCCUCACCUGUUUGUACCUGGUCCUGACCUGACCUGUAUGUACCUGGUCCUGACCUGUAUGUACCUGGUCCUGACCUGUAUGUACCUGGUCCUGACCUGUAUGUACCUGGUCCUAACCUGACCUGUAUGUACCUGGUCCUGACCUGUAUGUACCUGGUCCUGAUCUGUAUGUACCUGGUCCUGACCUGUAUGUACCUGGUCCUGACCUGUAUGUACCUGGUCCUAACCUGACCUGUAUGUACCUGGUCCUGACCUGUAUGUACCUGGUCCUAACCUGUUUGUACCUGGUCCUGACCUGUAUGUACCUGGUCCUAACCUGACCUGUAUGUACCUGGUCCUGACCUGUUUGUACCUGGUCCUGACCUGUAUGUACCUGGUCCUGACCUGUAUGUACCUGGUCCUGACCUGUAUGUACCUGGUCCUGACCUGACCUGUAUGUACCUGGUUCUGACCUGUACGUACCUGGUCCUGACCUGACCUGUAUGUACCUGGUCCUGACCUGUAUGUACCUGGUCCUAACCUGGCCUGUAUGUACCUGGUCCCGACCAGGUGGUUUAGUUUAAUGACCAGGUGGUUUAGUUUAAUGACCAGGUGGUGGCUAGUUUAAUGACCAGGUGGUUUAGUUUAAUGACCAGGUGGUUUAGUUUAAUGACCAGGUGGUGGCUAGUUUAAUGACCAGGUGGUGGCUAGUUUAAUGACCAGGUGGUUUAGUUUAAUGACCAGGUGGUGGCUAGUUUAACGACCAGGUGGUGGCUAGUUUAAUGACCAGGUGGUGGCUAGUUUAAUGACCAGGGGGUUUAGUUUAAUGACCAGGUGGUGGCUAGUUUAUUGACCAGGUAGUGGCUAGUUUAAUGACCAGGUGGUUUAGUUUAAUGACCAGGUGGUGGCUAGUUUAACGACCAGGUGGUGGCUAGUUUAAUGACCAGGUGGUGGCUAGUUUAAUGACCAGGUGGUUUAGUUUAAUGACCAGGUGGUGGCUAGUUUAACAACCAGGUGGUGGCUAGUUUAAUGACCAGGUGGUGGCUAGUUUAACGACCAGGUGGUGGCUAGUUUAAUGACCAGGUGGUUUAGUUUAAUGACCAGGUGGUGGCUAGUUUAACGACCAGGUGGUGGCUAGUUUAAUGACCAGGUGGUGGCUAGUUUAAUGACCAGGUGGUUUAGUUUAAUGACCAGGUGGUGGCUAGUUUAAUGACCAGGUGGUGGCUAGUUUAAUGACCAGGUGGUGGCUAGUUUAAUGACCAGGUAGUGGCUAGUAUAACAACAGGUGAGUUACCCUUAUGACCCUCUACGAUAGACAUUCAGUUGUUCAGCUAGGGAGGAAUGCGUCACAAAUGGUACCCUAUAUAGUGCAGUACUUUUGACAAGGGCCCAUAGGUAGUGCACUAUGUAGGGAAUAGGGUGCCAUUUGGGAAUCCCUCAAGAGAUGUCCACAGGACACAGUGGAGUCAGUGCAGAACCAGUUCCUGAUUAUCGUGUGUAUAAUGUGUGUAUAAACAUGUAUAAACUGCUUAAUAAACAUGUAUAAACUGCUUAAUAAACAUGUAUAAACUGCUUAAUAAACAUGUAUAAACUGCUUACUAAACAUGUGUAAACUGCUUAAUAAACAUGUAUAAACUGCUUAAUAAACAUGUAUAAACUGCUUAAUAAACAUGUGUAAACAGCUUACUAAACAUGUAUAAACUGCUUAAUAAACAUGUAUAAACUGCUUAAUAAACAUGUAUAAACAGCUUACUAAACAUGUAUAAACUGCUUACUAAACAUGUAUAAACUGCUUACUAAACAUGUAUAAACUGCUUAAUAAACAUGUGUAAACUGCUUAAUAAACAUGUAUAAACUUAUAAUAACAGUCAUGGUUGAGUAGUUGACUUUAAAGGACCCAGAGAGUUACAUAGACAGAGGACCUUCAGUAUGCUGGACAACACUGGAAACAUGUUGGGCUCAAUAUACAUCAUCAUGGUAUAUUAUCUUAUAUAGUAAGUUAUCUUAUGUUAUACGCUUUGUAACAGAGCACCAUUACGUUUUAGUACUUUUUUCAAAGCUGGCUGGUUUGUUUACAAGUUCAUAUCAAGAGUGCUGGAGAUUCAGCCCGACUUUAAAAUAACACAGAAUCUAAGUGCUACAUUUCCUGAAAGCCCCGUAAAUGUAAACAUGUAUACAGAUGAACAUAAUAAACUGUCCAUAGCUGGUAAUAUUACAAGAGGCAAUAGUAUCAAAACAUUCCACCAAAAAGACUUGAAAGAGUAUUAAACAGUUUUAAAUAAUUCAUAUUAAAUAGUUAUCCUUCAGCAUCUUUUAGUGAUGUCGUUUUUUUUUUGAUCAAUUUAUAAUUCCUUGAAAGAAUCCUAGAUAUUUUUUUUUUAGAUCCGACAAAAUAUUUAAUUCAUGGUUUCCUCUAUUACAGUGGUCGCCAACCUUUUUUCAGAGUCAAAAUGCAAGCUGAGAUCAACCGUAAGCCUAUGCAACAUUAACCAAUUUAAAAACAGUUCUGGAUCAAUGAACCUCAUUCAUGAACCUCAUUGAUCCAGAACUGUUUUUUAAUUGGUUAAUGUACAGUAGUAAGCUAUAGGCUCAAUACAUUAUCACUGUAUACUGGCUAUGCUUGACUUGCCCUGCCAAUGUUAUUCUUCUGGGACCAUUUUGACAUUUUAUAUAUAAAAUGUUGGUAUAUGAUCAAACUGGUAAUAGAUCAUUUGUUGUAUCACUUGUGAGGUUACAGCUGACUGAGCAUAAUCAUAUAAUUUUUUUUUUUUAUUGGACUGAUGACCUGCAUCUGAUGGUUAGUCUGAGAGGAGGGAGGGAGAGAGGA
rnacentral:lncRNA from 1 species